UUUAUUCUCUUUUCUUUUCCUCUUGGUAAUUGAAGUAUUUCUUUGAGAUGAAUACCUUCGGUUAAACAAAACCAGUAUUAUGUUGAAAUAUUAGUGAUCCGGCUCAAAACUUCUAUAUUUCUUUUCAAAUACUAUGAUGACUUUACUUAUCUCUGUGUACUACUAUUAUUAUAAUUUUGGCUAAAUAGUCACUUGAUUCUCACUCUGGGCUACUAUUAAAUACUAAACUUUUUCUGAGUGCAUGUCUCCUUCAUUGCCUCAUGGUAUUUCUUUUGCUAGAAUGGAAAUUCAUUGCUAGAACAGAACGUUUCUUAUCAAGGAUAUCUUUUCUGCUAGUGCCAUCUCCCACAAUUCUGGAUAUCUAGAAUCAUAGAUGAUUAGGGUUGGAAGAGACCUCAGGAGAUCAUCUAGUCCAACCCCCUGCUCAGCAGGACCAGCACCAACUAAAUCAUCCCAGCCAGGGCUUUGUUAAGCCGGACCUUAAAAACAUCUAAGGAUGGAGAUUCCACCACCUCACUAGAGCCAGUUAUCUCAUCAUAGAAGGCAAUCAAGUUGAUUAGGCAUGACUUGCUGUUGGUGAAUCCAUGUUGACUGUUCCUGAUCAUCUUCCUCUCCUCCAAGUGCUUCACAAUGGUUUCCUUGAGGACCUGCUCCAUGAUUUUUCCAGGGACUGAGCUCUCAGACGCAGAUCUGUGUUUUAGUGUUGCAGUCUGGCCACAGCCCUUCUGCUCCUGCUUGCUGCCAAAUGAAUUAUUUCCAAGAUGAAAAAUUUGCAUAACAUCAUUAUUAAAAAACAUUCCAGGGAUAAUGGAAUAGCUAUAUACAUUAGACCAAAGAAGAUGGUCAUAUGGAAAGGAUUCCACUUAAUAUCUUACCUUUGAUUUAUGAACUAUCCAGGGUGGAAAUUUUGGGAGAUGCUGCUAGCAGAAAAGAAAUUAUUAGUAAUAAGUUUUCCAUUCUGCAACCUAGCAUCUCUCCGUGCCGGACAUCUGGAAAGUAGCAGGCAGUGAACAGAUGUAGGGAGGUUAUGAAACAAAAGUUGGGUAGGAAAGAAGUACCCUACUUUUUGUGAGUCUGUAUUUAUUUCUGGGCAACUGCUUACAGCAUCUUCCUGCCAAAGGAGGCCUCUGCAGAAAAUAGAAGGUCCGUGUUGUAAUGCUUAAUGAAGGGGUUGGCUGUACACCAAGUGGCUGCUUUGCAGAUUUCUGUAGUGAAUGCAGUAGCUUGUUGCACCCAUGAGGUUGCUAAGGAUCUCAUGAAGUGUGCCUUGAUUCCUUCUGGGGCAGGAGCCUCUGAUGAUUUGUAGACUUCCACAAUAUGUAGUCUAAUCCAGCUAGCGAUGGAGGAUUUGGAGAGCUGUGAGUACUUGGCAUUUUGGGUGGAAAGUCACACAUAGGGAGCCUGGUAUUUUUGUGGAUUCUUUAUGUUUGAGAGAGAUUUUCAAAACUCUUUUGACAUAUAAGAUGUUGUGCCUUUUUUAGUUGGAUGCUGUGGUUUUGGACAGAUGAAGGAUGCAAAUCCUCAACGUCCCUCCCUCCCCUCCCCCAAUAUUAAACCAGCCUUAGGUGAAACUCAGAGUUCACCACUAAAAUUGAAAAAAAUAAUGUUCUGUUGCUGAUAAAGUGCCCACACCUCAGGAAUGACCCUAAAGAGUGUUAUAACCACCAGCAUUGUAAAGUAGAGACACCCAGGCACUGGGAAAUUAGGGAGGAUACAGAAAGAGAUUCAACAAAUGAUAAAUUAAACUCUGACCAGUGUUUUUAUGCUGAACAUCUGCAUAAAUGGAGAAGGUCACAACUAAGUUAAAAUUUGGGCAUGAAAGAUAAAAUGUAAAAAAACUUGGGCAGAAAGGAGGACACAUAGGUAAUGUAAUUGAUAAAAAUGUUAUUUAGGGAUGUGGGAUAAUGUUAUAGGUUUAAUACAUUUGAAGGAGGUAGCUAGCUUUAUCUAUAUAAUAUAAAUAAAAAACAGUGCUCUUUGGGAGCCAUUUCUGGACUGCAGUUCAACAUCAAGCUGCUGGAACUCUGAAUAUGUAUUCUGGGUGUGUUGCUAAUAAAUAGAUGUUUAGAACACAGCUGUGUAAGGCUGUUUCAUUGGGAAAAGAUCGCACAGACCUGUAGAGCCCUGAGCCCCAUAGAAAGGGCAGGUACUUAAUUUGGCCAGGUUUCUCCCUGAGCCCCAUGGGAAAGGAUAGGUGCCUUACGCCCCAAGCCUUUGGAGGGAGAGGGUUGGGGUGCCUAAAUUAACAGGGUCACAUCCUGAGCCCUUGGUAGGAUAUAGGCGGGGUACCCUGUAUUGUGCGAGGAACACUUGGGAAGUGUGGGAGGAAAAGCUUACUUUACAGAGAAAGGAUUCUGGUGUCCUGAGCAUCACCUUGUCCUCAUGGAACAUGCAGUAAGGCUCCUGUAUAGAUAAGGCUGCCAGCAUAGACUCUCACCUGGCAGACAUAAUUACUAUUAAGAAAUAAGUCUUAUGGAUAAAUAAAAGGUUAACGCUGAAGUCAGAGGCUUGUCAGGGCAUACAGAACUAGCAGAAGGUCCCAUUUUGGGAAGAAUGGCCUGACCACUGGUCUGGCUAAUCAGACUGCUUGAAGGACUCUAGCCACCUGUGGAUUGUCUGCAGGGAGUCUGAGAAUCCUGUGAAUAACAUGCUACUAAGAGCAGAUAUCUGGCAUGCAGUGGUGCAGGGCUGAAGGCUUCUGUCUAUGCUUUCCUGGAGAAAGUCCAGAAUGAUUGGAAUUCCUGGAUUUCUGAGAUUAGCAUUGCUCCUGGCACCAUGUUGCUGAAUCCUGACUAGACAGGGAAGUGUGCUUUAGUAUUGAGACUCUGCUAGAUGAAAGCAGUCUAUGAGUGUGGAGGACAGACAGAAGCACUAGAAUGUCUUGUUCUUAAUAAUCAGGCUGUUAGUUGAAGCCAUUUGAGGUUCUCAGUCUAGAGGCCCUGGGCCAUUUGAGUCUUCAAGUGAGCUCCCCAGCCUUCUAGGCUGGAGUCAAUUGCAAGGACUAAAGGAUCUGGAAGGCAGAUGGGCAUAUCGUUGGGGUUAUUACCAUGGGCUGACCACCGCUGUAGGUUCCAGCAGCUUGAUGUUGAACUGCAAUCCAGGAAUGGUUCCCAAAGAGCACUGUUUUUCAUUUAUAUUCUAUAAGUAAAGCUAGCUACACCUCUACCCCAAUCUAAUGUGACCCAAUAUAAUACGAAUUCGCAUAUAAUGCGGUAAAGCAGCGCUCCGGGGGGGCUGCACGCACCGGCGGAUCAUAGCAAGUUUGAUUUAACACGGUUUCACAUAUAACGCGGUAAGAUUUUUUUGGCUUCUGAGGACAGUGUUAUAUCGGAGUAGAGGUAUACUUCAUUCAGAUAUACUAAAGCUAUCACAUUAUCCCACAUCCCUAAAUAACAAAAUUUUUACCAAUUACAUUAUCUAUGUGUCCUCCUGCCCAAGU